ACGCUCGACACCUACGGGAAGCAGCAGUGAGGAAUAUUGGUCAAUGGACGCAAGUCUGAACCAGCCAUGCCGCGUGCAGGAUGACGGCUCUAUGAGUUGUAAACUGCUUUUGUACGAGGGUAAACGCAGAUACGUGUAUCUGUCUGAAAGUAUCGUACGAAUAAGGAUCGGCUAACUCCGUGCUAGCAGCCGCGGUAAUCUGAGCGGGCUGGCAAGGC
rnacentral:rRNA from 1 species